UGUUGCGCCUAUGAGGAUAUUCCUAACCAAUGCAGAGAAUGUGGGUGCAGGGGAAGCUCCGGGGAAAUACUAUCUACGUAACACUUCAUAUACGCCAGGCAAUUAUUAUACAUGGUAUCUUAUUGAAUUUUCACAAUUCCAUGAGAUAUUAUCAUACACAUUUUUCAGAUGAGAAAACUGAGGACAAAGGAAGUGAAGUAGCCAGCAGAUCACAGGAUUCACUCCACGCCAGGGAACUCACCAGGUGGAGGAACAGACACACACAGGCAUGCACGCACACAAACACAGAUAUGCACACACCAACACACACACACGCAGGCAUACACACACACACAGGCAUGCACCCACACAAGUGUGCACACACACACACAGGAAUGUACCCACACAGGUGCACACACACAGGCAUGCACACACCCUCUCACACACAUACAUGCACAUGCACAUACAGGCAUGUGCAGACAUACACACACAGACACACAGGGAUAUGUCCACACAAACGUAUACACACACAGGUGCAUAGAAACACAGGUAUGCACACACACAUACACAUGCAGGCAUGCAUACACACAGACGCAUGCACACACAGACACAUGCAUGCAUACACACAGAUACAUGCAUG
rnacentral:lncRNA from 10 species